CGGGACCGCCGGUCGGGACCGGGCGGAUCCGAGAUUGACGGCCAGAUCCGCCAAUCGCACCGCACGGGGCGAGCUGGGCCCAGCGCAGGCUGCGGCGCGAGAACGGAGCGGCGCGUCUGCCAAUCAGCACACACGACCCGCGCGGAGGGGGCGGGGCUUCCCCUGGAGUGAAGGAGCUCGGAACCAAUCAGCCGGCACCGUGGGCAUGGGGGCGGGGCUACGGGAGGAGCCCGCCUGAACCCGCGCGCGGGACCGACGGGACAGCGGGUCGGGCUGUGCGGCCUGGGGUAACUGCGCUACCAACGGCUCACAUCUGACGUGUCUGAAUCAGCUUUUCUUCCACCAGAAAUAUUUUAACUGGAUAAUAAGUCACAAGUACUGCCUAUCUCCAAACACCCCGUGAGCAUCCCAAACAGCCACACAGCACCUGAUCUCCACAGCCUGUUACCAUUCCCCUGUCUGCAGCUUAACGUUUGUAGCAACUCUGGGAGACUAAAGGGAUGAGCAACCCGCUGCCAAGGAAUGCAAGAGAUGCAGCAAAGGAGUACAGAAUAGAAUGAGAAACUGUUUAGCCAAAUGAGUGCCUACUGCAGCACUGAUCUAACUAACCUCCUAUGAGUCAAAGAAAAAAGCCAAACAGAGAGAAUCUUUUCACAGACAGACAAAGUAAAACACAGCAGAUCAAACAAGGCUUCAAGUCAGCCUUUCUCCAUGCAGUACUUUCAUAAUGGCAAUAGCUGUGGAAGCCGCUCAGCAACUCCACCUGUCUGAGAUGACUCAAACAAGCAGGCAGUGCUGCUUUAUUCUAACCAAUGCUGCCUUCCAGGAUAUGAGGAAAAUUCAACCUAAAGAUCCAAAGCCACUCAACAUUUAAGGGGAAUUGCUUCUUUUCUUUUCAGUGCUGUACACAAUGCCCAAAGAGUGUCCUCCUUCAUUGCAGUAAAUCCCAACGUAAACUGAGAAGAACCAUCAGAAGAGAUGGAACUACAUGAGAAAACAGUUCCCAGAGCCCUUGCUACAAUGUUAAUUCUUCUCUAAGCAUACACUGCCAGAUGUAAGUAAUCCUGAGCAUCUCUGUGUGUUUAGAAUACAGCAGAUUUAGUAUGUGCUCCAAGACAUCAGCAAAUGUUACAGUCAGAUCCGCCUGAAGCCUCCUUUUAACACAGGAGCAGAUGAGGAAUUUCACACAUCAGGAAAACCACCUUUCUAUAACAUCCUGAACCAGAUAAACACUGAGCACAUCGACCAUGAUUUGAUUCUGUGUUGUGAGCGUGUAGCACCAGCACACGGCUGGAACACUGCCCAGCAAGCCUACAACUUCUGCAUUAACCUUGUGUGAGCACAGCUCAGGUUAUCUAUUUAUAAAACCAUACCCCAGGUGUUGCCUACAGCAGGAUAUUACAGGAGGCGGCAGCUAACAGAGCUUCUUUCCUUGUGAUGCAGCCCAGGUGCUCAAGCUGGUGCUCUCAAUUAGGAACUCAGAGAGCCUGGCAUCUGGAGUAGAAAGACAACAGAACAUCACCAUUUCCCAGGGGUCAAGGAUUAACCAUGGCUCACACCUGCUCUGUUUAGUGCUGAGCUGUUUUUUCAGAAGAAAAGAUUAUCGCUAAUAGCUUUGAGUUGGUUCCAUUUUACAGUUUAUUCAUCUUAAUCUGACCCAAAUGCAAUCUGCAUCCCGCCUCAUACAAGCCUCUACACACAUUCAUUUUAGUCAAAGACAUGUCUCAAAAAUGCUGAAUCACUCAGUGUAGGUAACAAAAUGGUAUUUUUAUCAAGCACAUUAAUACAACUCAUCACAUUCCUCCACACUGCAAAUUCUCCCUCCUUGCAUCAACAUCUCCCACUGCUCUUCAUACAUAAGCUGAAACAUCAGUGGGUCAGAUCUGGUUUUUCCACUGCCUGAUGUUUGAUUACAGUUGUAGGAGAUCACAACAGUUCAGGAUCUUUCCUUUUCAUUGACAGUGUCAAACAAUUAGCUGGUCCUACCACUGGGAAUGAGUGUGUACACAUCCUUGCUGCAGCGUGCUUAGCUCCAGCUGGCAAACACAAACCUUGCAGCAGCCUCUCACAGUUCUCCACGCUGACCUAUAUUCCCUGCCCUUGCUGACCCAAUGAGGAGGAGGAAAUACCCACAGUGAGGGUUCCUGGUCUCUUCCACUGGGAGCCUUACCCUGUAAAGGAAGGCUGGUAGCAGGGAAAGGGGAGAAGAAAGGUCUCUACAACAUCAAGAUGGACACUGAAAGGCAGAGCUCACUUGUGCUCAGCAGUCACCUACCAAUGACCCAUGAAGACCACAAGGGUGCCAGCAAAAGCUCAGCUAAACCUCCACAGGCACCAUUCAGCCUCUUACACAGAUGACUCAAUUUGUGUCGACUGCAGUUCCUGCAGUUAGGGUGAACUUUGAGCACAGGAGCUCUGCCGUGGCUUGGGUUAGUCUCCAAAUAGCUCACCAGUGGAUUCUGCUUCCCAUAUUUCUCUAGCUUCUUUUCUGCUCUGUUGUGCCAGUCCUUGUCUGAAAUACUGCUCUGUCCACCACUAAGAAAUUUAAGUACAUCUCCAGGUGGCUCUGGAUAUUUGCUUUCUUUAAGCAGAGCUGUGUACUGCUGUAUAUGAUCACAAGAAUAUCAUUCACAUAAAGAAAGAACACUCAUUAAGUUCAGAGCACCAAUACAUUAGUUGUACACUGAAAACUAGUGGACAACAGAAAUGGAAGUUUUCUGAAUGUACUGCUACUGCAUAACAAGCAAUUAGCACAUGCACUUGUGGGAACUGCAAAUUACAAUACACAACUGAUUGUGCAUUUUAUGUGUGCAUUUUUGAGCCCAAUGUAUCCUAUGGCCCAAGAAAUGCUGGGAACAGCUGGCAUUUGUAGUCAUGUUUAUUGACACCACUCUGGAAAUGGAAGACUCUCACACUGGGUGCAAUCACUUACAAACUCAGACUUCUGCCUGCUCGCAGAAAAAAACAGCAUGUAAAAUCCUCCUUUGGUACUACAUCUCCGUUGGUACUACAAAUUCUGUAACACCUUUAAGCUGCCAAGCAGAACAAUUUGAUUCUGCAAGUCCUUUCAUGGCUGCAGAAUUCAUUAGCAGUUCUGGCCAUCCACAGAACAAAGGCUGAGUCCCCAAGGGCUGUGCUGGUAUUACAGAGAUUACUGGGAAGAAAUACACUCAUUUGGGGCUUAUUCUCCAGCAUCUUGAAAACGUAUCUACAGCACGUAGAAAUUAGGAAUCUACCUUGUAUUGAGGCUGUGUAUAACAGCACGGUAUGACCCUAUUUAUGCAAGGACAUAAUGUAGCGGAGGAAACCUGCAUUCUCAAACUAUUACUAUGGGAGACAGGAAAAAAAGCUGUAACUUGCAGACACUUCAGACUUCUUUCAGUCUUGCUCAUCAUUUAUUAUACAGCUCUGUAGAUGCUGAAAAAUGAGUUCACAGCAGAAAUGAGACAGGAAGCACACUAAGGGAGAAAUAAGCAUGGUGUGGGAAUGAGACAAGAACCUAAGGAAGAGCUCACACUGAAUUUGGGGAACAGAGUUUCUGUCAGAAAGAUGACCAUGGCUGCAUUAAGGAGCCCUCCGGCUAUUCCCAGCACCACAACUAUCAGCAACCUUUGAUCCACAAAAUGACAACUCUGCUGUAUUAAAGCUUAAUUUGUUUUGAGCAGAA